GUGCAUGCUUCGGCUGCACAUAUACUAAAAUUGGAACGACACAGAGAAGAUUAGCAUGGCCCCUGCGUAUGACAUGGGGCAAAUUCGUGAAGCAUUCCAUAUUAAA